rnacentral:rRNA from 1 species
CAGGGAGGAAUCAAUGACGUGUACCUGAAGAAUAAGCAUCGGCUAAAUCCGUGCCAGCAGCCGCGGUAAGACGGAGGAUGCAAGUGUUAUCCGGAAUCACUGGGCGUAAAGCGUCUGUAGGUUGUUUAAUAAGUCAACUGUUAAAUCUUGGGGCUCAACCUCAAAAUCGCAGUCGAAACUAUUAGACUUGAGUAUAGUAGAGGUAAAGGGAAUUUCCAGUGGAGCGGUGAAAUGCGUAGAGAUUGGAAAGAACACCAAUGGCGAAGGCACUUUACUGGGCUAUUACUGACACUCAGAGACGAAAGCUAGGGUAGCAAAUGGGAUUAGAUACCCCAGUAGUCCUAGCUGUAAACAAUGGAUACUAGGUGUUGAACAGAUCGACCUGUGCAGUACCAAAGCUAACGCGU